AAAAAAAACAAAAUGCCCUCCGGGUUAUCUUUGUUAACCGGCAGACAACAUCCGACAGAAAGCCCUGCCUCGAUGCCAGAGUGAGAGCACUCACCUCUAACGCGCAUUGUCCAUCAGUUUGAACAGGGCACGACUGCGCAAGCACGUGAAGGUCGGCCUAUGAGAACAGCGGGAGAGUUUAAAAAGUGGGCAGACUAACGGAGCAGGCAUCGUAGGAGCGGGUGACGGAGUAGGAAAGCUUCAAGAGACUUCGGCGAGCAGAGGCUGAGGACGAGCUUGCUCCCAGUUUUGGAACUACGAAGAAUUUGAAGGAAUUGAUAAUCAUCUUGAAUGUUACAAUGAAAAUGAAGAUCUGGAGGAUGCAAUCAGAAAAUUGUAUGAAGGCCAAAUUUUUAACUCGAUGCUCAACCCAGCAUGGAAGGAAAGCGUGCAAGGAGCUGGCUUGUUUCAAACCCAGGACCACUUACCUUGAAGUCAGAAUAUGCAUCAUUUCAUGAUCAGAGUUACAUUGUAAGAUAUUUUGUUGCUCCCUGGGUAAAUGGAGAGAAGCCAGUCGGCCAUCAUAACUCACUGGCAAUCUAAACUGGAGGAUCUGUAAUCCAGAGGCUGCUUUUUAAAAGAAGCAAUUCAAUGCUGCUGGUAACUCUCAAAGGAUUCCAAUAAGGCCAUCAUGUGAGAUUAUGAAUGAACUUUCUUCCGAUAAAUUGGCAAAAGACUCCGCUGAAUGGAAGACUUCCUCAGACAUUACUAACCACUUGGAGUUAUGUGUAAAGAAUGGGGAUGUGAAUAGAAGGCAAGCGGAUACCAAAGUCCUUUGGGCAUAAUCAUCCCAAAGCAUCCUCUGUCUAAUUCAAAUCCAUUUCCAUCAAAAAGCCUUGUGGAAUUCUUCCACUGGAUAUUGCAGUUCACAUCCACAGAUCAUUAAACCUAACAGGGUAGAUCAAUAAAGGUGGUUAAAUAGACAACUGGAUGCUUUCCUUUAUUAGCCAAAGCAUAGAAUAAAGGGAGGUUAUGCUGGAAAGUUACACAAGUUAGACCCCACCUAGAGACUAUACACAGUUCUGGUCUCUACUUGACAGGAAAGAUGAUGAGAGAGAUUCAGAAAAUGUACAGACAUGUUGCUAGGACUGGAAAAUUGUAACAAUGAGGAAAAACCUAUAAGAGAAUUAUCAAAUAAUGUGAAUAAAAUUAUAGGAUGCCUCUGUGUAAAUAAUGGGAAGCUAUUUAUCUUUGUGGGUGGGAUUAAGGGUUUGGGCAGCAGAUCAGUCAAAAAGCAUGAGGGAAAUUAUUUAAAAUAAAUACAAAAGGAUUCAAAGUGAGAUGAGGAAUUGUCUUUCCCAUCCAGAAUAUAAUAGAGAUCUUUAACUUCCUUUCAAGCAUUGAGCUCAAGGCAGAAGAACCCAAAGGUACUCAGAUAAAUACAGGAAGAGCUUGUAGGCCUAUGGACUUGGUGUUAUAAAGCAAGGUAAGGCUGGAUAACAUGGAUCGGGUGCACUGAAUAGCCUAUAAAUGUUCCAUAAUUUAAUGGUGCUCCAGCAAAAUAAAUUUGCUGAAGUAGACUUGCAUUUGAAAAAUGAAAAGCAGCAAACAGCAGGGGAAAGAAAUGCAUGAAAUGCAAUGCAGAAGCAGCUAUUUGUCAGGUCAAGCGAUUGUAAUCUAUAAUACUGUAGUGAGAAGCAACUUCAGAACAAAUCAAACUUCUUAGCUCUCGAGCAAGAAAUCCCAUCAGCUGUUAGUUUAGUCGGCUGAAUAUUACUAAAUAUUACUGAUUGCUUUUGGCAAAGAAUGAUGUUGAAUUCUGUGCAAUAAAAUCAGCUGUUUAUCCAAAAUGGAUUAUAUUAAUGUAUAGGCUCUAUGCGAGCUGCCACAUACUCUAUUUACCUUAUAUUCUUUGGUAUCUGACUACUGCCCAAAACAAGGCUAAUAGCCAACACAGUAUGACUGCUUCCUGGAUCUUGGAGACCAGGAAACUCUUCACUUCCAUGAUGCACAAAAUUUAGAUUUUCCUUCAAAUAUUUCUCUAACAAUUACACAUAUUAUCUAAAGCUGCCAAUGGUAAUUCCUACUGUUAGACUACAAGAUGUUUAAUUCUAUUUGUAACAUCUCAUGAUGAUACAAUUGCACAAAGAGAUAUUGAAGCCAAGGUCUUGGAGUUUAUUGAGGGGAUGAUGGUAUUCAAUGCUGAGCUGUAGGUAAAGAGCAUGCUAGCUGUCCAGAUGUUGCAGCAUUGAGUUAUCUAUGUAUUUCAUGAUAUUGUUGUUGUAGUGUGAGUAUUAUUAAAAUCAAGAUAAUACUAAUCGGGGAGCUGUUGGUAGCAAGAGGCGGGAUCCAGGGUUGGCGGGGUCUUUACUUCUGCUGUUUUUACUCCCAGUAUGCAUUGUAUAUAGUUCCUCCACCCAUGCCGCAUGAGGUACCUGGAAGCCUCUGUAUUGUAAAUAUCAUUUGCCAUCGCAGAUAAAGAUGCUCUUUUGGCCAUCAAGUUGUGGAGUGGUCUUUUUGUAAAGUAGAAGUUACCACAAUUAUAAACUUUUGCCAGGCCACUCCUCAGCUUCCAAAGCUUCAGAGAAAACAACCUAAAUUUGUUCACCUGUUCAUUGGGGCUAAUAGUCUACAUUUUGGCAGCAUCCUGAUAAAUAUCCUUCUAAAGCUUCUGCGUCCUUCCUAUACAGUCUAUGCAGUCUAACAUAUUUGUAAAGCUGUAACAUGACUUCCCGACUCCUACCAUCAAUGCUCUGACCAAUGAAACCAAGUACAGCAUACACCUUUAACAUUCCACCUACUUCUGUGGCCACCUUCAGGGAGCUGUGAACAGCACGCGCAUACUGAAAGAUAAAUAGAUAAAAGAAGCUGAGUCAAGGAAGUGUGUAUUGUAGACACUAACUGCAGAUAUGUUUUGCAGGGGAUCUCACUCUAAAUAGAUCAUGAGUGGUCCAACUGAUUCAUUAACUCCAAAUGCCUCCAUUUUACACUUUAAAACCUUAUGAAGAUCAAAAGUAAUAUUCAAGAACCAAUGGGGAACAAAAUUGUCAGGAAUAAUAAUCCUAUCCAGAUACUUGUAUAUCUGAUCUCUCAGAACACCUUCCAA